rnacentral:lncRNA from 1 species
AGCUAGGAACAAAUACCAGGGCUCUUCUUUCUGGUUCACUUAUUUUUUUCUAAAAUAUUGUAAAUCAUUAACCUACACUCAAGGAAUUUGUCUUCCUCAAGGAAGAGAUAACUGGAACACUCUUGUUGUGGUAAAUAACACGUGCACCCCAGUAGAGUACUCUUGUUAUAUGAACAUCAAAACUUUACUUGGUUCCUUUGCUAUUCACUUGGUUCCCUACCUAUCCUGAGUCUGUGGUGUAAAUGUCAGAGCCUUUAGAAAUCCAAGAUCCCUGGGCCCUUUAUAGACAAUGUCUCAUUGAGAUGUGUGCCCAGCAACUUACAAAAUGAAACCACUAUAGACUGUUUGAAGAAUUACUCCAAGGUUGCACUGAUUGAGUUUUAUGCAUGUCAUCUGGGUGAUAGUUUCUACAAUGAUAUUAUACCAUUGGAAAGGAUGAUCAUUAACCUUAAGUUUUAAAUGAUACUUUCACAGCUUCAAUACUCAAAAGACAAAUCUAAACUAUUCGGCCCCAGUGAUAACAGAAAAUCUAGUAGCUUUANACUUUCUAUUAACCUGUGCCAUUCUCAUCAUUCUGUGCUGCAUUUGGAUAAAUAUUCUCAGCUAAGUAGAAUGCUCCUCUGAAGUGGAGGAGUUGGCCAUUUGACUCUCCAAGGUAGAUCAUAAUACCUUUUGUCUGACUUGUCCAGAGUUCAGUAGUUUGUGCACAUGAGUUUGAAGCAUUCUACAAAAUCCAAUCAUCACACUUCUUUUCUACUUUGUGUACAUCUCCAGUUUUAAAUGUUGCUGUGUAGCCACUAUCAUAUCAGGUGACCUGACAACUCAUCCUUAACAAAAGAAGCAAAAGAUCAUACCCUGAUUUGACUCUAAACUUUUUGUUCUUUGAAGAUGAUGACAUAGGAUCAUCACAGUGCUAUAGAUAAGAAAUGAGACUAUGUUUGUGGCCAGUCCUCUAGACUGGUCAGCAGAUGGCCAAAAGCUAGUGUGACUUAGAAUUAGAACCACCACCAACCCCCUUAAUCAGUUAUAAAAUUAGAACCACAGAAUAUAUGACUUAUAUAAUACCUGCAUUUUUACUUAGAACCUCAUAUAGUUGUAUCCUUAUUUUAAAAAAUCAACCAACUCAAAGAUUCAACUCCUUAUUUCUCAUCAUAAGAUUUUUGUCCAAUCCAUAAGAAAUAUAAGUUGUCCAUUCACUUCCUGUGAUGAAAUACCAAUUCACAAUUCCUUAUAGUCUUUCUUGCUGGACUGAAUAAGCCCAAUUUGCUUGUAUCAUAACAGAUUUCUUUAUUUAAGAAGGUUUCACUGAAAAUAUCUAAAGUUGAUUUACUUUGUCAUUGUCUAAAUUAUGCUUUUUAAAGUUUUUAAGAAGAAUCAUUGAUUUUCAAUAGGUAGU